AGCUAAUAUAGAGGUACAGCUUUUAGAACAAAUGGUUUAAGGUCCUAGACAAUUCAUAUCACCAAACUUCUCUACCUACACCUAAAACUAUAAAGGAAAGACAACAGAUACAAAACAACUCCUUCCAACACACAUAUAUACAACAUAAAGCUACUACCACAGACAAAAUGCUGGACAUCACUAAGAAAAACCUAGUUUUUACUUUUGUACUCUUUCAUUCACAACUCACAAGCAAGUUUAAACCUUUAUAAGAGUGGUUCUUGAGCUACUGUAGAUAGGAAAUCCAGCAAAUAAAUUGAGGAGGAGAACAUCACAAUCAAGGAAAAAGAGUGCAACAGUGUCUGGAAGAUGAAAGAAAGUACUACAGCCAGUCCGUAUCCAGAGUGUCAGAGUCCUGGAAGCUUCAUCCUUUGCAACCAUAGCCUCCACCACAUCUCCAGAGUCCUGUCUAAUGUUCCUCAGAUGCAAUUAAUGGGUUCAGUUCGAUCCUGCACUGCAAGCUGCUCUGACACGUCAGUUAGUGAUUUGAGAUUGCAUUUGAUCAGAGCUUCAACAAAGUAGCACGUUUCAUCCUUGGUAUUCCCUUCAGGUACAUCCACCACAAAUGACUCGAUCACCAGAGUCCCUGGUCUUCCAUCAAUGAUCUCUGGAUGGAGGGAAAUGAUUGAAGAAUAGUUCCUCAAUCUAUGAUCCCCACCAACAAUCCUGAUGCUGAGGAUAUGCUCAUCAUCAUCAAGAAACUCCAAUCUUUCAGUACUUGUAGUGGCAGGAAGCCCAGACUUUACAUCAAUUUCUCUAACACUGCCAAUCUGAAGGUUCCCCUGCGCAACACACCUCCUAAUAAAUGGCUUAUACUUCUGUGGUUGAUCAAAUCUCCUCACGAGAGACCAAACAAGAUGAACAGGAGCUUUGAUGUGCUUAACGAGAGCAGAGCUACACUGAUGAUCAGCAGGAUCAUGCCUAUGAUGUCUCCUAAUGUAUUCAGUCUCUACACUUCCAAAUCCAUUUCCAAUCGCUGUCCCAUUACUCUGACCAUUCAUUUUCGGUUUGCUUUCUCUUCAAACCAAACGCGUCCUUAUCUUUCCCUCACUGCAAACAGAACCAUCAGAUGGAUAGAGAGAAAGCGUGUGAGAGAGACAAAGUCCGCUUUCUCCCUCCAAAACACCUCCCUCGCCGAAAUCACAGGUGCGACGGCCGGCCGACGAUAAUUCUCCACCAAGGACCGCUUUUAAUAUGGAAAUAAGGAAUUCGUGUUAAAAGUCUUUUCUUCGCCUUUCUUUUGUCAAGAGGAGAUGAGGAAGCGUACAAGACUCACCGCCAUAGAAGAGCUACCUCAAGCCUUUCUAUUAUCUAAUCAACUGAAAU
rnacentral:misc_RNA from 1 species